rnacentral:rRNA from 1 species
GGGGAGUGGCAGACGGGUGAGUAACGCGUGGGAACGUGCCCUUCGGUGCGGAAUAGCCCUUGGAAACGAGGUGUAAUACCGUAUACGCCCUAUGGGGGAAAGAUUAUCGCCGAAUGAUCGGCCCGCGUCAGAUUAGGUAGUUGGUGAGGUAACGGCUCACCAAGCCGACGAUCUGUAGCUCGUCUGAGAGGAUGAUCAGCCACACUGCGACUGAAACACGGCCCAUACUCCUACGGGAGGCAGCAGUGGGGAAUCUUGGACAAUGGGCGCAAGCCUGAUCCAGCCAUGCCGCGUGGAUGAUGAAGGCCUUAGGGUUGUAAAACUCCUUUCAGCGGGGAAGAUAAUGACGGUACCCGCAGAAGAAGCCCCGGUUAACUCCGUGCCAGCAGCCGCGGUAAUACGGAGGGGGCUAGCGUUGUUCGGAAUUACUGGGCUUAAAGCGCGCUUAGGCGGUUCAGUUAGCGAGAGGUGAAAGCCCGGAGCUCAACUCCGGAAUUGCCUUUCAUACUGCUGACCUGGAUUCCGGGACAGGUGUGUGGAAUCCCGAGUGUAGAGGUGAAAUUCGUAGAUAUUCGGAGGAACACCAGAGGCGAAGGCGACACACUGGACCGGUACUGACGCUGAGGUGCGAAAGCGUGGGGAGCAUACAGGAUUAGAUACCCUGGUAGUCCACGCCGUAAACGAUGGAUGCUAGUUGUCAGGCAGCAUGCUGUUAGGUGACGCAGCUAACGCAUUAAGCAUCCCGCCUGGGGAGUACGGCCGCAAGGUUAAAACUCAAAGAAAUUGACGGGGGCCCGCACAAGCGGUGGAGCAUGUGGUUUAAUUCGAAGCAACGCGCAGAACCUUACCUGCUCUUGACAUCCCGGUCGCGGAUUGCGGAGACGCUUUCCUUCAGUUCGGCUGGACCGGUGACAGGUGCUGCAUGGCUGUCGUCAGCUCGUGUCGUGAGAUGUUGGGUUAAGUCCCGCAACGAGCGCAACCCUCGCCGUUAGUUGCCAUCAGGUUGGGCUGGGCACUCUAACGGGACUGCCGGUGUCAAACCGGAGGAAGGUGGGGAUGACGUCAAGUCCUCAUGGCCCUUACGGGCAGGGCUACACACGUGCUACAGUGGCGGUGACAGAGGGAUAAUCCCUAAAAACCGUCUCAGUUCGGAUUGUCUUCUGCAACUCGAAGGCAUGAAGUCGGAAUCGCUAGUAAUCGCGGAUCAGCAUGCCGCGGU